rnacentral:rRNA from 1 species
AUGCCGCCGCCGCUCAAGAAUCGCAGCCACGCUCCCGCGAAGGCCGGGCAGAGCCGGCCGCCGCCACGCCAGCCGGGGCGGCGGAUGGCUAGGCGCGACGGUGGGGAGCGAGCGGCCUUCUUCGCGCGGCGCGAGGCGGCCACGGUGCUCCGGCGCGUGCUACGCGGGGACGCCUCCAAGCGCUCCGGGGGAUCCAUCAAGUCCCUCGUCUUCUCCCCCUCCGUACGCAACAAGCGUGCCACCUUCGCCCUCGUCUGCCAGACCCUCAAGUAUCUUCCAAUUCUUAAGGAGGUUUUAGCAUCAAGUGGAGUAUUCAGCAGCAAAUGGAAGAAACAAGAGGAAUUAGUUUAUGUGACGGCCUACGACAUCCUCUUCGGUCAGGAAAUUGCAGUUUCUGGAUCUGUCGAGGAGUAUAUUAUGCUACAUAAAGAUACUUUUAGGACUGCUCUUCAGAAAAUAUGUGUUAAAAGGAAAGUCAGUAAUGUUGAGGACUUGUUAAGCGAGAAAACUACAGUCAAACCGAAGCCCAGGUUUGUUCGUGUAAACACACUCAAGACCACAACAGGAUCGGUUAUUGAAGUACUAAGUAAAAUGCACAAGGUUGAUAAAGAUGAUAUGGUUCCAGACAUGUUGGUGCUCCCUCCUGGAACUGAUAUGCAUAAACAUCCAUUGGUCACAGAUGGAAAGGUGUUUUUGCAGGGAAAAGCAAGUUGUAUGGUGGCAGCUGCAUUGAGUCCUAAGCCGGGUUGGAAGGUUAUUGAUGCAUGUGCGGCUCCAGGGAACAAAACAGUCCAUCUUGCUGCACUCAUGAAUGGAGAAGGGAGUAUUAUUGCUUGUGAACUUAACAAAGAGAGGGCCAAGACAUUGCAACAUACUGUCAGAAGAUCUGGAGCAAACAAUAUUGAAACAGUUAUUGGUGACUUUUUGAAUAUAGAUAGCAAUGAUCCGUCAUAUGCAGAGGUUCGUGCUAUUCUAUUAGACCCCUCUUGCUCUGGAUCUGGAAUCUCUACUGAGAGACUCGACCACUUGCUUCCUUCACAUUCUAUAGAUGAUCAGGAUGAUGGAGGUUCAAGCGCAAGGAUCCGGAAACUGUCCGCCUUUCAGCGGAAAGCUCUCUCACAUGCUCUAUCAUUUCCCUCUGUAGAGAGAUUGGUCUACAGCACCUGUUCAAUACACCAGGCAGAGAAUGAGGAUGUCGUCAGCUCUGUGCUACCUUUAGCCUCAUCACUCGGUUUCGAGCUCGCUACCCCAUUCCCUCAAUGGAGGCGCCGUGGCCUUCCGGUCUUCCACGGAGCCGAGCAUUUGCUUCGGACGGACCCCGAGGAUGAUCUGGAGGGAUUCUUCAUAGCGCUUUUUGUGAGGAAAGCAGCCGCCGCAGAUGCUUUGGAGCCUAGCGAAGACGGUCGCGCUUUGGGAAGGAAAAGGAAACGAGCUUGCACAACGCGAAGCGGAGGUCUCAGGGCGUUCAGCUCCUUGAGAUUGUCCAGGAUGGACGUGCUCUGCUCCAUCUGGGGUAUAUAG